UACGUAGGGUGCAAGCGUUGUUCGGAAUUAUUGGGCGUAAAGCGCGCGUAGGUUGGUUAGUAAGUCGAUUGUGAAAUCCCUGGGCUCAACCCGGGUCUUGCUGUCGAAACUGCUGAUCUUGAAUGUUCGAGAGGGUGGUGGAAUUCCUGGUGUAGAAGUGAAAUUCGUAGAUAUCAGGAGGAACACCCGAGGCGAAGGCGGCCACCUGGCGAAACAUUGACGCUGAGGCGCGAAAGCGUGGGGAUCAAACAGG
rnacentral:rRNA from 1 species